rnacentral:tRNA from 1 species
UAGCUCAGUGGUAGAGCCCCCCGCUUCGCCUGCGGGGAGACCUGGGUUCGAUUCCCGG